rnacentral:rRNA from 1 species
GACGAACGCUGGCGGCGUGCCUAAUACAUGCAAGUAGGACGCAGUUGCGAACGGGUGAGUAACGCGUAGGUAACUACCUAUUAGAGGGGGAUAACUAUUGGAAACGAUAGCUAAUACCGCAUACUAGUAGAUGGAUCUGCGUUGUAUUAGCUAGUAGGUAGGGUAAUUGCCUACCUAGGAAACGAUACAUAGCCGAACUGGGAGGGGGAUCGGCCACACCGGGACUGGGACAAGGCCCAGAAUCCUACGGGAGGCAGCAGUAGGGAAUCGUCGGGAAUGGGGGGAACACUGAACGAGCAACGCCGCGUGAGUGAAGAAGGGUUUCGGAUCGGAAAGCUCUGUUGUUAAGGAAGCGGUACUUAACCAGAAAGGGACGGCUAACUACGUGCCAGCCGCCGCGGUAAUUC